rnacentral:rRNA from 1 species
GAUGAACGCUGGCGGCGUGCCUAAUUACAUGCAAGUCGAACGAGGUGCUUUUGUAGCAAUAUGAGAGUAUCCUAGUGGCGAAACGGGUGAGUAACGCGUUGGUGACCUACCCCAAAGUGUGGGAUAACAGUCCGAAAGGAUUGCUAAUACCGCAUGUGGUUAUCGGAUCUAGAAACUGAUAACUAAAGGAGCAAUUCGCUUUGGGGGGACCUGCGUCCCAUCAGCUAGUUGGUGAGGUAAUGGCUCACCAAGGCUACGGCGGGUAGGGGACCUGAGAGGGUGACCCCCCACAAUGGAACUGAAACACGGUCCAUACACCUACGGGUGGCAGCAGUAGGGAAUAUUGCACAAUGGGCGAAAGCCUGAUGCAGCAAACGCCGCGUGUGCGAUGAAGGCUUUUCGGGUCGUAAAGCACUUUUCUGAGGGAUGAGCAAGGACAGUACCUCAGGAAUAAGUCUCGGCUAACUACGUGCCAAGCCGCCGC